rnacentral:rRNA from 1 species
CACUUCGGUGGGGAUUAGUGGCGAACGGGUGAGUAACACGUGGGCAAUCUGCCCUUCACUCUGGGACAAGCCCUGGAAACGGGGUCUAAUACCGGAUAACACUGCGGAUCGCAUGGUCUGCGGUUAAAAGCUCCGGCGGUGAAGGAUGAGCCCGCGGCCUAUCAGCUUGUUGGUGAGGUAAUGGCUCACCAAGGCGACGACGGGUAGCCGGCCUGAGAGGGCGACCGGCCACACUGGGACUGAGACACGGCCCAGACUCCUACGGGAGGCAGCAGUGGGGAAUAUUGCACAAUGGGCGAAAGCCUGAUGCAGCGACGCCGCGUGAGGGAUGACGGCCUUCGGGUUGUAAACCUCUUUCAGCAGGGAAGAAGCGAAAGUGACGGUACCUGCAGAAGAAGCGCCGGCUAACUACGUGCCAGCAGCCGCGGUAAUACGUAGGGCGCAAGCGUUGUCCGGAAUUAUUGGGCGUAAAGAGCUCGUAGGCGGCUUGUCACGUCGAUUGUGAAAGCCCGAGGCUUAACCUCGGGUCUGCAGUCGAUACGGGCUAGCUAGAGUGUGGUAGGGGAGAUCGGAAUUCCUGGUGUAGCGGUGAAAUGCGCAGAUAUCAGGAGGAACACCGGUGGCGAAGGCGGAUCUCUGGGCCAUUACUGACGCUGAGGAGCGAAAGCGUGGGGAGCGAACAGGAUUAGAUACCCUGGUAGUCCACGCCGUAAACGGUGGGAACUAGGUGUUGGCGACAUUCCACGUCGUCGGUGCCGCAGCUAACGCAUUAAGUUCCCCGCCUGGGGAGUACGGCCGCAA